GCGAGCUCAUAUCAGGUUCGUUCUCCAAUUGUUGAAGACUUGAACUCAUUUUGAUGUCAACGUUAACAGGUGUCAAAUCUUCUUUAUCUUUGUCGGAUAGUACUUGGAGUUCUCCUUUUUGUAUUCGUCGAAAUUCAGAUCGCAUUAUCCUUUACAUUUCUCGCUUCCAUACUUGGAAUUCACAUUUAGAAAAUUCUUCGGACAUGUUUCAACAAAAUGUUAGAAAAAACAAGAUAAAUUAGAAAGAAAAAUAAUCCUC
rnacentral:lncRNA from 1 species